UCAGGCAGUUAUAUAUACGUUGCGAAAAUACUGACCAAUAUUUCUGAAACAUCCCGAGUUGCUCCAGCAGUCCCCCUCAGCCCUCUAAAGGGUGUAUAGAAAGGUAUAGUCUUUGGAUUAUGGCUGGCCAGAGGAAUGAUUACGGGAAGAGAAUGCAUUCUCAAUCUGAAUAUUCAGCAAAUGAGGGGAGUAAGAGAAGGAAUCCAAAUGAGGAAAAGGAAAGCAAUGCCAUUGGACCUGAGGAUACGGUUUAUAGAUACUUAUGCCCCUUGAGAAGAAUUGGAAGUAUUAUUGGAGUAGGUGGGGACAUUGCCAAGCAAUUAAGGGCUGAAACUCAUGCUAAGAUUAGGAUUAGUGAGAUGAUACCAGGGUGUGAGGAACGUGUGGUUACUAUUUAUAGUUCUAGGGAGGAGACUAAUAGCUUUGGAGACGAUGGCGAUCUAAUCUCUCCAGCACAAGAUGCUCUUUUUAAGGUGCAUGAGAGGGUUGUUGCUGAAGAGGUGCCUAUAGAUGAUGAGUUGGAGGCAUCUCAGCAGGUGACAGUCCGGCUGCUUGUGCCUUCAGAUCAGAUAGGUUGUGUGAUUGGAAAAGGUGGACAGGUAGUCCAGAAUAUACGCAAUGACUCAGGUGCUCAAGUUCGCAUCUUAAGCAGUGAACAUCUGCCUCCUUGUGCUCUGAGUUCAGAUGAAUUAAUCCAGAUUGUUGGGGAAACAUAUGCUGUUAAGAAAGCUCUUUAUCAAGUAGCUUCUCGUCUUCAUGAUAAUCCAUCACGGUCACAGCAUCUUCUUCUUUCUUCAGCAAGCAUUUACCGAUCUGGCAGUGGAUUAGUCAAUCCAGGUGUUGGUGCGCCACUGAUUAGUUCAUUAGUGGGUCCUUAUAGGGGUUAUAAAAGUGCUGGAGCGGACCACUCCACAUCUGUAAAGGAAUUUUCUCUUCGUUUGGUAUGCCCUAAUGAGAAUGUUGGAGCUGUGAUUGGAAAGGGUGGUGGUAUCAUUAAGCAAAUAAGACAGGAAUCCGGUGCAUCCAUUAAGGUGGAUACAUCUGUUGCUGAAGGAGAUGAAUGCAUGAUAUCUGUAUCAGCAAAAGAGACUUUUGAAGAUGCAUCACCUACAAUUGACGCAACAAUGCGCUUGCAGCCACGAUGCAGUGAGAAAACCGAUAAGGAAUCUGAUGAUCCUGUAGUUACUACCCGUCUUCUUGUACCUAGCUCUAGGAUUGGCUGCCUUAUUGGUAAAGGUGGAGCUAUUAUUAAUGAAAUGAGAAGUGCCACAAGAGCAAGCAUCCGCAUUCUUUCUGAGGAAAAUCUUCCCAAAGUUGCAUCUGAAGAUGAUGAGAUGGUCCAGAUCACUGGAGAUCUAAAUGUUGCAAGCACUGCCUUGUUACAAGUUCUUCUGCGCUUGAGGGCCAAUUUAUUUGAGAUGGAGGGAGCUUUAGCUGCAUUUCCACCAGCCGUUCCAUAUGUUCCAUUAUCCAUGGAUGCAGCUGAUGGUCCAAAGCAUGGCAACCGUGAUCAUAAGUCACAUAAUCAUGGAUAUUCAACUUACUCUGGGGGAUAUGAUUCCAAGAACUUGGUACAGCAGAGUGAAAGUUAUGGUGUAUAUGGUAGUCCUCAGAUUGGUGGUAGAAGUGGUGGCUAUGGAGCAUAUGGAAUUUACUCUGGUCGAUCCAGUGGUGGAUCUGGGUUGUCUAGCCAUAACCCUGGUUCACACGGGAAAUCUUAUGGUCAUUGAGUGCCUGGUUCUCAGGGCGCGUACAGGUUCUGGAAUGCCUGUUUCUCUGGCCUAGAAAUGUUAAACUACAGGUUUCCAAGGAGAGAAGCAUACCCACAUAUCUCAUUUGAUUAUGUCCAUUAUAUUGCUGUGGUGGGGAAUGCGCCAUAAGGAUUCAGCGUAAUGUACUGAACUGUUUUGAACUUUGAUAUUGCAGCUUAUCUUCUGCUGAAGUUGAUAACGAUUCAGUACAGGACCAUGUAGGACAAGGUAAAGGUAUUUCAGGUAGUACAUUUUUACAAGUUAGAGGGCUGCUUUCUCCGCAAGAUAACCAAGUCGAUUAAAGAUUGUGCAUCACAAAUAUCCAAGUGUUCGUAUUUGCAGCGUUGGCUCAAAAAAAAAAAAAAAGAAUACAUGAUGGAUGUUGACUUGCCAAAGUGUGGAGUGACAACAGUGGGUAUUUCAGUGACUAUAAAGUGGGUAUGUAAGUUUGGGGUUCUGCAUUUUUCUGUAUGUUAUUACUCUACUGGCUUCUUAGGACAGAUGUGCAUUAGAGAUAUAAAUUAGUUUUACAUGUUCUCCUCCAUUAUUAUAAUCCCUUCUUCCUUGUUGAGCAACUGAAGCUGAGCUUUCUUCUUCUGCAAUGUGCCACAAGGAUGAAGUUGUAAUCUAGGAAUGGUUUCGGUUUUGUGAGUUGGAAAAUCAUCUUCACAUUCUAAUCUGAGUCCGUUAGAGUUGCUUUGUUUUGUGGGAAUAGCAAAAUUGAAUCCUGUAGGAAGAAUGAAUUUUGGCUAAGGGUCAUAGCUGGUGGUCCUUUCUCUUGCUAAGAGGUUUAAAUGAGAAGGUUUCUAUUAUUC